AAAUUGAAGAGUUUGAUCAUGGCUCAGAUUGAACGCUGGCGGCAGGCCUUACACAUGCAAGUCGAGCGGAAACGAGUUAUCUGAACCUUCGGGGGACGAUAGCGGCGUCGAGCGGCGGACGGGUGAGUAAUGCCUAGGAAAUUGCCCUGAUGUGGGGGAUAACCAUUGGAAACGAUGGCUAAUACCGCAUGAUGCCUACGGGCCAAAGAGGGGGACCUUCGGGCCUCUC
rnacentral:rRNA from 1 species